GAUGAACGCUGGCGGCGUGCCUAACACAUGCAAGUCGAGCGAACAGAUGAGGAGCUUGCUCCUCUGACGUUAGCGGCGGACGGGUGAGUAACACGUGGAUAACCUACCUAUAAGACUGGGAUAACUUCGGGAAACCGGAGCUAAUACCGGAUAAUAUAUUGAACCGCAUGGUUCAAUAGUGAAAGACGGUUUUGCUGUCACUUAUAGAUGGAUCCGCGCCGCAUUAGCUAGUUGGUAAGGUAACGGCUUACCAAGGCAACGAUGCGUAGCCGACCUGAGAGGGUGAUCGGCCACACUGGAACUGAGGCACGGUCCAGACUCCUACGGGAGGCAGCAGUAGGGAAUCUUCCGCAAUGGGCGAAAGCCUGACGGAGCAACGCCGCGUGAGUGAUGAAGGUCUUCGGAUCGUAAAACUCUGUUAUUAGGGAAGAACAAAUGUGUAAGUAACUAUGCACGUCUUGACGGUACCUAAUCAGAAAGCCACGGCUAACUACGUG
rnacentral:rRNA from 1 species